CCGUCACAUACCAUCGUGCUUGUGAGAAUCUCCCCUUGCCAUAGUGGAGUCAUAUUAGUUUGUAGUCCAAACCAUUCAGACGCUACAGACAGAAGUUGGCACAUCGGCGGUACAGACUUCAGGCGAGUCUGGUAACACUUGUGGGGGUCGUAGAGCAAAACGAAGAACAUCGUUUGUAAGCCAAACCGUUCGGACGCUACAGCCGUUUUAGUGAGAAGACCGAUUUUCGCGAUGCCUCAUGGUCUGGUCUGACAAACAUCGCUGUAUCUCGGCCACCUUCCUCCACCGCAGAUGCAGAAAUCCGAUAUAGCCGGAUUUGGUAGAUUGAGAAGCAGUGGAAAACAGAAAGGAAAAUGCUGCACACUUUUCCAUGAGUUUGCCUACAACUCCAGCGCCUGCGGAAAGUGCUUGGACACACCCUCUUCAUUGAGUUGAAUUGAGUUCAGGAUCAACAACAGAGGAAAAGUACAACAACAUGACGACUUCAGCUCCUGAUAAGCCAGAUUGUGGGCCGAUGGUGAUUACUGUUGGAUUGUUGACGUUGGUCAUUGGAAUCGCUGUUGGAGUGAAACUGAAGGAGGCCACAGACCAGUUCAUUCAGCAACAUAAAUGGAAGCUCAUUGCCUUUGUCCCUGUUUUAUUUUUUGCUUCUAUCAUGCUGCUUCUUUCUGUCAUGGUGCUUCUGAACUUGAAGAAACAGGAAGUAUAGAGGGAUACUGAAGCAUGGCUCCUACAAUUAGCAAACACUUCUCAGUCAGUCACACACAAGUAUUGAAUGAAUGACUGAUUUGUACGUUGUUAUGUACAUUUGUUACACAUAGCAGUAAAAUACUUUUCCAAAAAUGCAUGUGUCCAUUGUUGAUGAAAAGGUGGCGGCAGGUAACCUAGCUGUUGAGAUUGUUGGGCCAGUAACUGAAAGGUUGCUGGUUUGAAUCCCCAACCCGACUAGGUGAAAAAUCUGCCGAUGUGCCCUUGAGCAAGGCACCUAAUUCCUCCUGCAAGUCGCUCUGGAUAAGAACAUCUGCUAAAUGACUGAACUGUAAACAACAUUUGGAAAAAGUGAUUCAUAGUUGGCUAGAUGUAUUUGUCUAAGAUUGUAUUUGUCAUCCCAUUUUAAUGUGAAGAAGAUCCCUUUCCAUCUCUGGCCAUCUGUGUACUCGUACUUUUCUUGUACUUUGUCACUAUGUGUGAUUUAUAGUUGUAAGUGCCUUAUAGAUCAGUUGAACAUAGACUUAGUAUGUUUUCUAACCACUCAGUUGAAUGCAUGUUUCUCUUCAACUCAUUUGUUUCUGGUCAUCAACAUGUCAGUAUCUCCAGGGCUCAUUGAAACAAAUAAAGCAGAUUUUAACUAA